CCUACGGGCGGCAGCAGUGGGGAAUAUUGGGCAAUGGGCGCAAGCCUGACCCAGCAACGCCGCGUGAAGGACGAAGGCUUUCGGGUUGUAAACUUCUUUUAAGAGGGAAGAGAAGAAGACGGUACCUCUUGAAUAAGCCACGGCUAACUACGUGCCAUCAGCCGCGGUAAUACGUAGGUGGCAAGCGUUUUCCGGAUUUACUGGGUGUCAAGGGCGUGCAGCCGGGCUGACAAGUCAGAUGUGAAAUCCCGCGGCUCAACCGCGGAACUGCAUUUGAAACUGUCAGUCUGGAGUCGCGGAGAGGGCAUCGGAAUGCCGGGUGUAGCGGUGAAAUGCGUAGAUAUAAGGAAGAACACCAGGGGCGAAGGCGGAUGACUGGAGGGCAACUGACGGUGAGGCGCGAAAGCGUGGGGAGCAAACAGGAUUAGAUACCCCAGUAGUC
rnacentral:rRNA from 1 species